rnacentral:rRNA from 1 species
AACAGCAUUUGGACGUGGGUGAGUCGGUCCUAAGAGAUGGGCGAAAGCCUGGUUAGUAAGGGUGCAGAUGUGCUGUCCUCUCCUCGGGACACGCAUGUCCUGGUUUGGUUCUUCACGGGACUGGCCAUAGGUGGCACCAGCUCUCGAAAGGGCAUCGGGUUAAUAUUCCCGAACCAGACACUUGGAUGCUGCCUGUGUGCCCGGCUGGCCUCUUCACGGGGGUCGGUUGCGGUGUGCAGGUGGAGCACGGCAACGUAUAUGUAUGUGUGUGAAUACUCGGCGACGCUUGCGAUAGCCCUGGGAAGAGUUGUCUUUUCUUCUUAACCGUACCAACCGUGUGCACAGCCCUGGAAGCAGUUUACCUUGAGAGAGGGCUGGAGGUCGGGCAAAGCGCUGCACUUAUUGCAGCGUCCAGUGCGCUGUCGAGAGCCCUUGAAAAGCUGAGUCAGGACUGGACCAUGUUAGUCUCGU